AGGAAAAAUUUUUAAACACGUCGCUAUGAUUUCAUAUUUUCUGAUUUUCGUACCUGUGGUUUUAUUUUAUUUUUUUUGUUAUCUCAUCCACUAAUUUUUUCGUUAAGUCAGAUAUGAAGUUUUUUCGUAUAUGAUUUAACGAAAAGUGAUAUACUUUAAAUUAUAAAAUACUAAGGUAAAAAAAUACGAAACCACAUGGGUGGUAUUUGAAGUUUACUCUAAGGGCAUGUUUGGUUCACCUAUUUUAGACUAUGGAAUCGGAAUGGAAUUCAUUGAUUCCGAUUGUUGCCGUUUGUUUUAUAGGAAUCGGAUUCCGAUUUCCAUUCCACUCCGGAAUGAGAAUGGCCAAAUCCAUUUAUGAUCCAAUCCGGCUUUGAAUCCCGGAUUGGUUCAUUCCAAAAUAAACUAUUCAAAAUUCUUUUUCAUCAACACCUACCUCCUCAUCCUUCAUCACUUUCCUCUCUCUUAAUCAAAACCCUUUCUAAAAAAUUUUAAAUUUUCAUUCCGAUUUCCAUUCCAAUAAUGAAUCAAACAUUUUUGGAUGAUUCGUCAUUCCAUUUCCCAUUCCAAAGNUAU
rnacentral:lncRNA from 1 species